ACGCACGCUGGCGGCGUGCUUCACACCUGCAAGUCGCACGGAAAGGCCCUGCUUUUGUGGGGUGCUCGAGUGGCGAACGGGUGAGUAACACGUGAGUAACCUGCCCUUGACUUUGGGAUAACUUCAGGAAACUGGGGCUAAUACCGGAUAGGAGCUCCUGCUGCAUGGUGGGGGUUGGAAAGUUUCGGCGGUUGGGGAUGGACUCGCGGCUUAUCAGCUUGUUGGUGGGGUAGUGGCUUACCAAGGCUUUGACGGGUAGCCGGCCUGAGAGGGUGACCGGCCACAUUGGGACUGAGAUACGGCCCAGACUCCUACGGGAGGCAGCAGUGGGGAAUAUUGCACAAUGGGCGGAAGCCUGAUGCAGCAACGCCGCGUGCGGGAUGAAGGCCUUCGGGUUGUAAACCGCUUUCGCCUGUGACGAAGCGUGAGUGACGGUAAUGGGUAAAGAAGCACCGGCUAACUACGUG
rnacentral:rRNA from 1 species